AGGUUUUGUUUUUUUUCUAUAAUUUUAAAUAUUAAAUUCAUUCAAAAUAAAAAUAUGGUUAAAUACUUUAACUUCUUUUGGUUCAAUUGUAAUUUAUGAAAUUCUUAAAUGGCAAUUUAAGGUAUUUUGAAUGUGUCACUAUUUUAGAGUGCUCACUUUAUAUAUAUAGAUAUGAGUUGUGUUAGUAACAGUUAUUUAGUGCGUUGAUUGUCUGUGACCGCCGAAUUGCUGAUACAUUGUAUAAUCCACUUGCAUGUUGAAUGAAUGGUUGAUAUCCCGGCUGUCUCUCUCUCGUUUCGUAUAUGUUUAUCUUGAAGUCAACUAGUGAUUGUCUAAAUAUUGACGACAACAGUAAUUCUCAUAAUUCUUAGAAGCACUUCAUUGUAAAUAUUAUUUUCGAAACCAAACAACAAGAAUAUAAGUGCAUGCAAGAAUUGCCAGUGCCAUAGUUGCAUUUCAAUAUUUUUUUUUUUGGAGACUUUGGAUGCGGUCCCUAGUUAUGAACAAUCUUUGACUGAAACUUUGUUGGUUUUCAAUUUUUGAUCCAAGUCCUUAAAAUUAAUUGAUAAUUUAUUUCUAUGUACGUUACUAUAUUUUUUAAAUUAAAAAUUAAAAUUUAUAGUU
rnacentral:lncRNA from 1 species